GACGAACGCUGGCGGCGUGCUUAACACAUGCAAGUCGAACGGAAAGGCCCUGCUUUUGUGGGGUGCUCGAGUGGCGAACGGGUGAGUAACACGUGAGUAACCUGCCCUUGACUUUGGGAUAACUUCAGGAAACUGGGGCUAAUACCGGAUAGGAGCUCCUGCUGCAUGGUGGGGGUUGGAAAGUUUCGGCGGUUGGGGAUGGACUCGCGGCUUAUCAGCUUGUUGGUGGGGUAGUGGCUUACCAAGGCUUUGACGGGUAGCCGGCCUGAGAGGGUGACCGGCCACAAUGGGACUGAGAUACGGCCCAGACGCCUACGGGAGGCAGCAGUGGGGAAUAUUGCGCAAUGGGCGGACGCCUGAUGCAGCAGCGCCGCGUGCGGGAUGACGGCCUUCGGGGUGUAAACCGCUUUCGCCUGUGACGAAGCGUGAGUGACGGUAAUGAGUAAAGAAGCACCGGCUAACUACGUG
rnacentral:rRNA from 1 species